rnacentral:lncRNA from 1 species
UAUUUUGUCAAAUAGCUUAUAACAUACAAGAACAACAUCAUAUUGCAUCAAUAAUUAUCAGAAGAAAAUUGAAGUAGCCAUCAAGAAAUACCAAAGUAAUUUAUGAGCUGCCAUCUGUUGAACAAGCUGGAAAUAUCAAGUGUAUUUGUUACGUCUUCUUUUCUUAAUUGGUGCAAGUUGAACAGAAAUUUUCUGAUACUGUUGGGCGCCAACUUGUCACUUGUGGAAGCUCUUCACCUACCUAUGUUCUUCCGCAUAAAAUCUCAGUUCUUUGCCGUAUUUGCAUCCUGCCAGGAAAGCAUCAUUCUUCAUCAACAAGUUUGCUCUAGUUGCAAUAUAGGAAUGGACUAUGCACGAAACAAAACAUGUUUUUUUACAUCAAAUGGGAAUUAUUGUUGUCCGUCCUGUUAAUGCAGUCAGUUGUUUCCAGUGGUCACCAAUCACUUUGUUCACCUUCACAAAUACCCUCAAACAAGGUAAAAGCUAGAUACACACACCUACACGUUUCCAUGUUCAUUAGUAUUAGGUUUCAUGCUUGCUUAGUCCUAAAACAGUCUCAGACCAAAUACUUUUAGAUUAGUGCAACAAGGCUGACAUGACAAACAGAUACAUUUAGAAUAAAUAGAAUGUAAAAAUCUCUUAAUACAGAGAGAUUAAAAAGCUAUAACACAGUUGGAUUCUGAAUACAAAAACUCCCAAGACAAGGACACAUUGCAAAUUAGCCUACUAUUAUGUCAUCCAAUUUAAUCAAAACAACGAACCUGACACAAGCAUUUUAAGAAACAACAUCAUGCCAAAUUUUCAGAGAAUGACUUGUAUCCACAAACAAAACAGUAAGUAGUGCUAAAGAAACCCUUUCAUGUCGCCUCAAUUAAAGGUAGUGAGCUAUUAUUCCAACAGAUUUCAUCAAAAGAAAUGACAGCUUUAUAGUAACGCUUAAUCAAAGACUAUAAAACUAUUGCAAUUACUUAAAUCACUGGUUACCAUGGUGAUCACAGGAACCCACAAAUUUCCUGCUGCAUACUAUAUUUAUACCCACAAAUUUCACCAUUGCAUUCCAAUUGAUGACCCUAUUUCCGGCUGCACCUCCCAUGGUGAUCACAGGUACCCACAAAUUUCAUUAGUGAAUUGGUUUGUAACCUGUGUGUUUGAUAUGAAUUGAGAAAACAAUGAUUAAUUUUCUGCGAAUUGCUAGGAUCUUGUUUGUAAAUUAGAACAUGAUUGGUUGUUUUUUUUACCAAUGAUUUAUUUAGUAUUCAGUGAUUGGAGUAAUGGUUUAAAAAAAGGAUUAUCAGAAGUUUUUCUCCUAUUCGUAGAUCAAUGGAUUCUUUUUUUCAUGUUUGAAAUUAGUUGAAAGAUCAACACCCUUAACCCAUGUGUUAUCCCUUUGAAUCAGACUGCUAGAAAUACCAGUAAAACCCAUAGCGAAUCCAUGUUCCCCAAAAGACUUGUUUUUUUACCAGUGAUUUAGCUGGACAAAGUCGUCUAAGAACAGAAAAGACUAGUGAUCAAACAAUAUCUUAUCAUCAUUCUUCUUCAAAAUCAAGGUGUUAAACCUAUACUUACUACAUUUUUUUCCCCUUCCAAAUACAAGUAAUGUGAAUCGGCCCUAGGGACUUCUUCAUCGGGUGAGGACUUUCAACCUCGUCCUCUCCAAAUUAAAAUUUUAAAUUAAAAUCUAUUUACACUAAAAGCAUGUCAUGAGUGCAAGACUGAAAGGUAUUCGUACCGGAUGAAGGGCCGACACUUGAGACUUGAGAGAUCUGAGAGUUCGAGAUGAAGGGCCGCCGGCGCCGAGAGUUCGAGACUUGAGGAUUGAGAGAUCUGAGACUCUGAGACAGUGAGAGGUCGAGAGGUCGAGAAGACGAGACUUGAGAGUGAGAGUUGAGAGAUCCCAGAUCUGAUCCUAGAGUUCGAGUCUUCCAGAAAAUUUAGUAAAGACUAGUAAAUUAGUAUACUAAUUAAUAUUGAAUGGGCUGACUCUGUG